ACCGGCGGCUCGAGUGGUGGCCACUAUUACUGGGCUUAAAGCGUUCGUAGCUGGCUUGUUAAGUCUCUGGGGAAAUCUUCCGGCUCAACCGGAAGGCGUCUCAGGGAUACUGGCAGGCUAGGGACCGGAAUAGGUGAGAGGUACUCCAGGGGGAGGAGUGAAAUCGUGUGCUCCUUGGGGGAAGACCGGUGGCGAAGGCGUCUCACCAGGUCGGAACCGACAGUAAGGAGCGAAAGCUUGGAGCACAAACCG
rnacentral:rRNA from 1 species